rfam:Homo sapiens chromosome 5, GRCh38 reference primary assembly.
AUAAAGGUUUUUUUAAAAACCACACAUGCAUACAUAUGUUCAUUG